CGGAGGGUGCGAGCGUUGUCCGGAAUCAUUGGGCGUAAAGGGCGCGUAGGUGGCCCGGUCAGUUCGUGGUGAAAGCGCGGGGCUCAACCCUGCGUCGGCCAUGAAUACUGCCGCGGCUGGAGCACUGUAGAGGCAGGCGGAAUUCCGGGUGUAGCGGUGGAAUGCGUAGAGAUCCGGAAGAACACCGGUGGCGAAGGCGGCCUGCUGGGCAGUAGCUGACACUGAGGCGCGACAGCGUGGGGAGCAAACAGGAUUAGAUACCCUGGUAGUCCACGCCGUAAACGAUGGGCACUAGGCGCUUGGGGGAGCGACCCCCCGAGGGCCGGCGCUAACGCAUUAAGUGCCCCGCCUGGGGAGUACGGCCGCAAGGCUG
rnacentral:rRNA from 1 species